rnacentral:rRNA from 1 species
GGAGGUCCGAACCCACGAGCGUUGAAAAGCUCGGGGAUGACUUGUGGGUAGCGGUGAAAUUCCAAUCGAGCCCGGAGAUAGCUGGUUCUCCCCGAAAUAGCUUUAGGGCUAGCCUCAAGGUGAGAGAUACGGAGGUAGAGCACUGAAUGUCCUAGGGGGUAUUGCACCUACCGAAGACUAUCAAACUCCGAAUGCCGUCAUCUUAUACUUGGGAGUCAGACUGUGGGUGAUAAGAUUCAUAGUCGAAAGGGCAACAGCCCAGAUCGUCAGCUAAGGUCCCUAAAUGUAAGUUAAGUGGUAAAGGAUGUGGGAUUGCACAGACAACCAGGAUGUUGGCUUAGAAGCAGCCACUCAUUCAAAGAGUGCGUAAUAGCUCACUGGUCGAGUGAUCCUGCGCCGAAGAUUUCCGGGGCUAAAACUUACUACCGAAGCUACGGCAUCAGUAAUGAUGGGUAGGGGAGCUUCCCAUACGGGUUGAAGCAUGACCGUAAGGACAUGUGGACAGUAUGGGAGUGAGAAUGUUGGCAUGAGUAGCGAGAUGUGGGUGAGAAUCCCACAGGCCGUAAACCCAAGGUUUCCAGGGGAAGGUUCGUCCGCCCUGGGUUAGUCGGGACCUAAGCUGAGGCCGAAAGGCGUAGGUGAUGGACAACAGGUUGAUAUUCCUGUACUACCGAUAACCGUUUGAGAGAAGGGAUGACACAGUAGGAUAAGCUAAGCACACUGUUGGUUAUGUGUGCCCAAGCAUUGAGGCAGUCAAAGUAGGCAAAUCCGCUUUGAUAAUGCUGGGAUGUGAUGGGGAGCGAAAUUUAGUAGCGAAGUAGCUGAUUUCACACUGUCAAGAAAAGUCUCUAUCGAGGUUAAAGGUACCCGUACCGCAAACCGACACAGGUGGGUGAGGAGAGUAUCCUAAGGCCAGCGAGAGAACUGUUGUUAAGGAACUCGGCAAAAUGACCCCGUAACUUAGGGAUAAGGGGUGCCACCAUCAGGUGGCCGCAGAGAAUAGGCCCAAGCGACUGUUUACCAAAAACAUAGGUUUCUGCUAAGUCGCAAGACGAUGUAUAGGAGCUGACGCCUGCCCGGUGCUGGAAGGUUAAGGGGAUCUGUUAGAGCAAUCGAAGCAGUGAACUUAAGCCCCAGUAAACGGCGGCCGUAACUAUAACGGUCCUAAGGUAGCGAAAUUCCUUGUCGGGUAAGUUCCGACCCGCACGAAAGGCGUAACGAUUUGGGCACUGUCUCAACAACAGACUCGGUGAAAUUGUAAUUCCGGUGAAGAUGCCGGAUACCUGCGACAGGACGGAAAGACCCCAUGGAGCUUUACUGUAGCUUGACAUUGGGUCUUGGUACUACAUGUACAGGAUAGGUGGGAGGCUUUGAAACCAGGACGCCAGUUUUGGCGGAGCCAUCCUUGGGAUACCACCCUUGUAGUACUGGGACUCUAACCAUAGGCCAUGAAUCUGGUCUUGGGACACUGUCAGGUGGGCAGUUUGACUGGGGCGGUCGCCUCCCAAAAGGUAACGGAGGCGCUCAAAGGUUCUCUCAGUACGGUCGGAAAUCGUACGUAGAGUGUAAAGGCAAAAGAGAGCUUGAUUGCAAGACAUACAGGUCGAGCAAGGAUGAAAAUCGGACUUAGUGAUCCGGUGGUUCUGCGUGGAAGGGCCAUCGCUCAACGGAUAAAAGCUACCCUGGGGAUAACAGGCUUAUCUCCCCCAAGAGUCCACAUCGACGGGGAGGUUUGGCACCUCGAUGUCGGCUCAUCACAUCCUGGGGCUGUAGUAGGUCCCAAGGGUUGGGCUGUUCGCCCAUUAAAGUGGUACGCGAGCUGGGUUCAGAACGUCGUG